rnacentral:tRNA from 1 species
UGCCCGGUAGUGUAAUCGGCAACACAACAGGUUUUGGUCCUGUUAUUCCAGGUUCGAGUCCUGGCCGGGUAA